rnacentral:lncRNA from 1 species
CACCAGUUGUUGCCAGAGCUAGUAUUAUAUAAUGCUUCAAGUGCCAUUUCCUGUUCUUUUUUAUAGAACUUGUUUGGCAUGGAUGUAAAUGAAGUUGAGGUAAUCCACCACAAAGCUCAUUAUUUCCAGUGAUUGAAAAUUUAGUCAAAUAUCUGAAAAUCCCCUAUUUUGGCACUUCUCCUUGCAGAUUGUUGAAGGACAGAUCCAAUCCUGACAACAAAAUCAAAUUCUGCAGACUUGUAGGGAUUGUGCCUGACAAGUUAUUGUAUGCCAGAUUCAAUUGUCCAAGGUUAUGUAUAGCACC